GAUGAACGCUGGCGGCGUGCCUAAUACAUGCAAGUCGAGCGAACGGACGAGAAGCUUGCUUCUCUGAUGUUAGCGGCGGACGGGUGAGUAACACGUGGAUAACCUACCUAUAAGACUGGGAUAACUUCGGGAAACCGGAGCUAAUACCGGAUAAUAUUUUGAACCGCAUGGUUCAAAAGUAAAAGACGGUCUUGCUGUCACUUAUAGAUGGAUCCGCGCUGCAUUAGCUAGUUGGUAAGGUAACGGCUUACCAAGGCAACGAUGCAUAGCCGACCUGAGAGGGUGAUCGGCCACACUGGAACUGAGACACGGUCCAGACUCCUACGGGAGGCAGCAGUAGGGAAUCUUCCGCAAUGGGCGAAAGCCUGACGGAGCAACGCCGCGUGAGUGAUGAAGGUCUUCGGAUCGUAAAACUCUGUUAUUAGGGAAGAAUAUAUGUGUAAGUAACUGUGCACAUCUUGACGGUACCUAAUCAGAAAGCCACGGCUAACUACGUGCCAGCAGCCGCGGUAAUACGUAGGUGGCAAGCGUUAUCCGGAAUUAUUGGGCGUAAAGCGCGCGUAGGCGGUUUUUUAAGUCUGAUGUGAAAGCCCACGGCUCAACCGUGGAGGGUCAUUGGAAACUGGAAAACUUGAGUGCAGAAGAGGAAAGUGGAAUUCCAUGUGUAGCGGUGAAAUGCGCAGAGAUAUGGAGGAACACCAGUGGCGAAGGCGACUUUCUGGUCUGUAACUGACGCUGAUGUGCGAAAGCGUGGGGAUCAAACAGGAUUAGAUACCCUGGUAGUCCACGCCGUAAACGAUGAGUGCUAAGUGUUAGGGGGUUUCCGCCCCUUAGUGCUGCAGCUAACGCAUUAAGCACUCCGCCUGGGGAGUACGACCGCAAGGUUGAAACUCAAAGGAAUUGACGGGGACCCGCACAAGCGGUGGAGCAUGUGGUUUAAUUCGAAGCAACGCGAAGAACCUUACCAAAUCUUGACAUCCUUUGACAACUCUAGAGAUAGAGCCUUCCCCCUCGGGGGACAAAGUGACAGGUGGUGCAUGGUUGUCGUCAGCUCGUGUCGUGAGAUGUUGGGUUAAGUCCCGCAACGAGCGCAACCCUUAAGCUUAGUUGCCAUCAUUAAGUUGGGCACUCUAAGUUGACUGCCGGUGACAAACCGGAGGAAGGUGGGGAUGACGUCAAAUCAUCAUGCCCCUUAUGAUUUGGGCUACACACGUGCUACAAUGGACAAUACAAAGGGCAGCGAAACCGCGAGGUCAAGCAAAUCCCAUAAAGUUGUUCUCAGUUCGGAUUGUAGUCUGCAACUCGACUACAUGAAGCUGGAAUCGCUAGUAAUCGUAGAUCAGCAUGCUACGGUGAAUACGUUCCCGGGUCU
rnacentral:rRNA from 1 species